GACGAGGGUGUUUACAAAUGGACAGAUGAGCACACACGUCUGCUUAUCCGGUGGAGAGCGGCUAAUGAAGCCCUCUUCACCAGAAAGCGGAAUGCUGCCAUCAAAGGCUUUGAGGCUUUUGUGGUGGAGCAGGACCUGCA